rnacentral:rRNA from 1 species
UACGGGAGGCAGCAGUGGGGAAUAUUGCACAAUGGGCGCAAGCCUGAUGCAGCCAUGCCGCGUGUAUGAAGAAGGCCUUCGGGUUGUAAAGUACUUUCAGUCGUGAGGAAGGUGUUAAGGUUAAUAACCUUAGCAAUUGACGUUAGCGACAGAAGAAGCACCGGCUAACUCCGUGCCAGCAGCCGCGGUAAUACGGAGGGUGCGAGCGUUAAUCGGAAUUACUGGGCGUAAAGGGCACGCAGGCGGUUAAUUAAGUUGGAUGUGAAAUCCCCGGGCUUAACCUGGGAAUGGCAUUCAAGACUGGUUAGCUAGAGUCUUGUAGAGGGGGUAGAAUUCCAUGUGUAGCGGUGAAAUGCGUAGAGAUGUGGAGGAAAUACCGGUGGGCGAAAGGCGGGCCCCCUGGGACAAAAGGACUGACGCUCAUGUGCGAAAAGCGUGGGGAGCAAACAGGGAUUAGAUACC